rnacentral:piRNA from 1 species
GCUGUGAGGCGACUGCGGGCAGGUA